rnacentral:lncRNA from 1 species
UGGCAUGUGAAGCUCGUCGAGCCUUAGUGUAAUAUCAAUUUUUAUUAAUAUUUAAUAAUAUUUACCACUUAUUUAAAGUUGUCUAGUAGACGAGCCGAGUUGAUUUAAACUUGUUUAUGAGCCGAGCCCGAACCUAAAAAGAAGCUUGUUUAGUAAACGAGCCUGAACCCAGCUUCACUUAUCGAGCUUGCGAGCCUAAACAAGUCUAUUAUUUUAUUUAAUAUAUAUUAUUUACUAGAUAAUAAACGAGCCGAGCUCGAGCUCUCAUAAGUUAAUCGAGCUCGAGCCUGGUCGAACUCGGGCUCGGCUCGUUUGAACCCCUACUCAUAAGUGCAUAAAAGUAAUAGAAUCAUAAUGCUUUUACAAUCUAUUGAAAUAAUAAUCAAAAGAAUCCGAAAAAGUCCACAAUUAGAGUUGACUUUAUUGAUAACAGGUCAAAUGGAGUAAAUUUCCGUUUUGCUCCCUGUGGUUUGGUCACUUUAACAUUUUUGCUCCAAACCUUUAAAAAUAGCCAUUUUACUCCCUGAUAUUUCGGUUUUUUUGCCAGUUUGCUCCCCGCCUCUAACUCCAUCCAAAUUGUUUGUUUUUCCAUUUUGCUCCCUGCAGGGAGCAAACUGGCAACAAAACCAAAACAUCAGGGAGUAAAAUGGCUAUUUUUAAAGGUUUGGGGCAAAACCGUUAAAGUGAACAAACCACAGGGAGCAAAACGGAAGUUUACUCUUUAAAUUAUUGUAUAAUAUUUUAGAUUACUGAAUUUUGAGAGCCAUGUAUUAAUUUUUCUUUUCAAAAUCGAGCCAAACCAAGCCGAGCCAGCUCGGUUUAAAACCAAGCCGAGCCCGAGCUUAGAUUUCCAGCUCGGUUUUAAAUCCGAGCCGAGCCGAGCCAGCUCGGUUUAUAAUCGAGCCAAGCCCGAGUUUUACACUAGCUCGGCUCGUGAACAGCCCUACUUAUCAAGUCCUAAACCGUGUUUGAAUAUUGUUUUCAUUUGUUGUAAGAAUACUUACCUUGAGUAGUUCAGAUGAACGAAAACCACCGAUCCAUAGAAAACACCGUUCGGCAGGUGACGUCCACAUUCCAUAAAUAAUAUGGAAAACAUCAGCUUUUGCUGCAAUUUUUU